GGCCCGGGCGGGAGAGGCAGCCUCAGGCUUGCCCGUUGUGGCCCGGCUCUGCCCAUCCUCCUCCGGCCCCUUAGGUUUCCAUGCUGUGGUGUGACCCUCUCUUGCAGUACCUGUCUCUUAAGCGUAGCGAGCAGCCCCGUUUUCUGAGCCUGAGGAGCAUCUUAGCUUUUGCUCCUUUCUCAGACCUCUGGGACCCUGAAGCAGUUCUCAGUUCAGGUCCAUUGCAGCCAUCAGGCAGCCCAGAAGAUGGACAUUUGACAGGCCACAAUAGACUGCUCCUUUCCCAGGAUGAAGCUUGAUGUCAAGUUUAAAUCUCAGACUGCUACUGACAUUGGAGAAGAAACAAGAAAGGACUGGAGGAAGAAAUAGCAGAG